CAGCGCCACGAGUGGGAGCCGAUUUUAUUGGGCCUAAAGCGUCCGUAGCAGGUUUAAUAAAUUACUUGUGAAAUCGUAUGGCUUAACCAUACGGACUGCAGGUAAGACUGUUAGACUAGAGACCGGGAGACGUUGGAGGUAUUCUAGGGGGAGCGGUAAAAUGCGAGAAUCCCUAGAAGACCACCUGUUGCGAAGGCGUCCAACAAUAACGGGUCUGACUGUGAGGGACGAAAGCUAGGGGAGCGAACCGGAUUAGAUACCCGAGUAGUCC
rnacentral:rRNA from 1 species